UGGAUGUCGGAACUCUGUUAUUGUUGAUAACUUUCUUAUUAAUUAAAACACAAUUAAAGCACACCAAUUUUGCCUCACGACAAUGCUGGAUGUAUAACAGCGAAGUGGUCUUUUCUUCUAAGGGUUGAGGGUUGUUGCGACGGCGAAUGAAAUCCUCUCGCCAUUUUUAGGGUUUAUCGUUGCGAGCUCUCUGGCCGAGAUUGCAACCCUGCUCUACCAGAUAACGCGUUACAACAGCCAACCAGGGGAUGUCAUAAUCUGCGCAAUUUGGUUAUUCAUCUGCGGUGGUUCGAUCGGGGUGCUGUUCUGGUUCGCUGUCCAGAUUCACGAACAGGCACAUGAUGCAGAAAAUUACGUUCAUGACAUUUCUGUUUGGGAUCAAUCGGAGGAAGGAACCCCAAUACAGGUGAUGCUAUUUUUGGCCAAACUUCACGGCAAACCCACCGCUCUGACCGUCUGGAGUUGGGCAGCGAUAACAAGAGAUUUUGUUCUUACGGUAAUCGGGAUCUUGGCCUCGUAUUUCGUCAUUGUUGCCCAAACUUUCCCUUCUUAGCUGCAACCUUUAGGCCUGCUUCGAGGAGAAACUCAAGGAGCGGACGGGUGGCGAGUCCAACAAUCCAGACAAGAUUGAUUCCACCACCAACCCUUAAGUAAGCUAUCGGAUACAAAGGCAUGCGCUAAACACCGCACUAAGGCCAGCAAAAGUGUGACGUUUAGCUCAGGCCUAAGUAACGGCACUUUUAUAUUUAUUUCACUGGAGUGUUUUCUUUAAAGUACAAUAUCUUAAGGGGAAGUCAUAGUCAUUGAUGUCCUAGACUGGACCAUGCCAUUAUAUCUAAGGUGGGGUCGUCAGACCCCAGAAAAUGUGCAAGUUUUCUUUUGAGGGACUGACAAAUAUUUUCAGUAUCAGGUAAUCAGCCACGAAGGAAACUGACUGCUGGGUGAGUUUUAACUUUGGGUAUUAACAUUUAGGACAAAUUUACUGGAGCGACCCAAAUGCAUUUUUAUUCCAGUCAUAUUUUAGUGCGCAAAAUUGUACUGACAUAAACCUACCAAGAUCAAACCCUCUGAUUAAUUGGAUUCAUCUGCUCUGAAGUGUUUGGCUGGCAGUUUUCAAUACCCGGUCCCUCUGUCAAUAGACUUGUGGAGAAGUCAAUGGUCUGCUGCGGUGAGAUAGUCGAGUUGUGGCGGUGCUCUCGGAGAUCACUGCUCUCGCGCGAAAUGCUGGUUGCCGACUUCUACUCACCGUUAAAUUGGACCGUAGGGCGCCUAUGGCGCUCUAUAAUCUUUGGACCGUAGUCGUGAGAGCAGUAGUCUCACGGGGCCAGCAGUCUCGCGAGAAUACCGCGGGAACCGCGGAAUUUGGAAUGAUAUCACCGCGACAGACAUUUAACGACUGUCCACAAGUCUACUCUUUCAAUCGAACUUUGGGACCAACUUCGGAGCCAGUAUUACUGGUGGAAUCUUCUGGAAUGUGUGUGAUUCAUGAGGUUACUCCACACACUUAAGGAGUAUGGAAUGUCCAAUGUCCGUCUUAUGUAUCUCAGUUAGGAAACCGUUUCUUAUCACAAAAACACAAACAGAAAGUUAUGAAAAAAUGUCGCACACCGUUCUAAUACAGUUGCCCGUAUAUCGACCAACUUAUACUGAAACAAAACAACUUAGUCUCCCAGUAAAAUCAAUUUGCUGACAUCUGUAUACUAUUUUGCUUUUCAAACUCUGGAAGUUUGAGUUACCUCUAAAUCCUUCUCAAGAGUAACACACACACGUCCGAACAGAGCUGGCUAGACGGGGAAAGAGAUCGCGCAGGGCACUGUCUCACCCAAAUAUUUGUUGUCGAAAAUAGGGUAAAAUAGAAUAAAUCAUAAGUGUUGCAUUUUUGUCUAAAUUUAGCUUGAAUCCGAUAAACUCACAUGGAGUAAAAAGCCUGGCAUUAGGCGAAAAUUGACUUAGAUCAGAUACAAUGAUCACAAGGGCGCCACCUACCGACACAGAAAUCCGUUUGAUGUACCAGAAUGUACACGAUGUACAUAUUAUUUUAUUCACUACAUAAUGUAUUUAUUUAUAUUAUACUACAUGUACAUGUAAUGAUAUUCUGGCAUGAUAUUUCCCCAGUAAUUUCCGCAUUUUUUAAUUCCGAGGCCUCGAAAAUCAAAUUUGUGGAAAACUACUUCUUUCUCGAAACUACGUUACUUCAGAGGGAGCCGUUUCUCAC